rnacentral:rRNA from 1 species
UAAAUGUUAAUCCCCCCCUAACGGGCGAGUGAAGGUGCGAAUAGCUCAGACUGAAAUCUUCGGAGUUGUGGUCCGGAGAAGUAAGAUAAAUGGUGGUGGAAGCCUUCGUAAAGUCGCAUGGAAAGGCGCGCCAAGGAGGGUGAGAGCCCCGUUCAUACGAAGGUGGAAUCGGCGUCUGCUUCCAUGAGUCGAGUUGUUUGGGAUUGCAGCUCUAAUCGGGUGGUAAAUUCCAUCUAAAGCUAAAUAUGGGUAGGAGACCGAUAGCUAACAAGUACCGUGAGGGAAAGAGAAAAGAACUUUGAAAAGAGAGUGAAAAGUACCUGCAAUUGCUGAAAAGGAACCGAUGGGAAGUAGUGUGGGUGAUGCCAGGUUCCUGGUAUUACCGGUCUCGCUUUCUUGGCUGUCGUGCGAAAAGGCCUUAAAAACCUGUCAUGAUGCCGAGAGACUGAGACAAAAUGCUUCUCAUCAACCCGUCUUGAAACACGGACCAAUAGUUUUUACUGGAUGCUGAGUCGCAAACUGAAAACUGCAAUGCGCCAUAAUGCUGGCCUUCGGGCCACGAGCACUUACGACGUGGUUGAAUGGGUUUCAACGACCCGUCUUGAAACACGGACCAUUCGUUUCCUUUUUUCUUUUACCAG